CAAAACCAAGAUUGCUGAUCUUGAUCCCCUCAAGAACACACAACCAAUCUCAGCAAACACAGAAACGAAACUUGUUUUCACAGAGUACAAGAAUUACACUUGUUACAGAAGAUAAUCUGAAAUCAAUACAAGCAGAAUCCUAUUCCACAAACUUUGAUCAAUCACAAACUUUCAGCAAUCUCUACUCUUUGAAAAACUCAAAAACUCUUAGCAAAAACUUGUCAAAGAUUAAUUCCCAAAUCUGUUUUUCUGAAUUUAUUCAAAGAUGUAGUUUGUUAUCAAAUCUU
rnacentral:lncRNA from 1 species